rnacentral:lncRNA from 1 species
AUCAAAGUAUUUUAGGAUAGAUUGAAAUGACUCCGUAAAUUGUAUGGACACCAUCACGAAUUGGUUGAUUCAUACGAUCUGUCUUUACUAACUAAUGACAUUUUUACUAUUUUCUUGGUUAUUGUUUACCUUUUACGCCAUCUGGUCUUUUAAGUACAUGUACCUAUUCCCGAAUAUGACUGCUUUGCUAAGCAUAAAUUUGCAUUGCUAUAAGCCGAGUCACGGUAUUUGUUAUCC